rnacentral:rRNA from 1 species
GGAGGGUACAAGCGUUAAUCGGAAUUACUGGGCGUAAAGCGCGCGUAGGCGGUUAAGUAAGUGGAUGUGAAAGCCCUGGGCUCACCUAGGAACUGCAUUCAAAACUAUUUAACUAGAGUACGAGAGAGGAGAGUAGAAUUUCUGGUGUAGCGGUGAAAUGCGUAGAUAUCAGAAGGAAUACCAAUGGCGAAGGCAGCUCUCUGGAUCGUCACUGACGCUAAGGUGCGAAAGCGUGGGUAGCAAACAGGAUUAGAUACCCUGGUAGUCCACGCCGUAAACGAUGAAAACUAGCCGUUGGGGAGAAUUAACUCUCCAGUGGCGCAGCUAACGCAUUAAGUUCUCCGCCUGGGGACUACGGCCGCAAGGCUAAAACUCAAAUGAAUUGACGGGGGCCCGCACAAGCGGUGGAUCAUGUGGUUUAAUUCGAUGCAACGCGAAGAACCUUACCUACCCUUGAAAUCCAGCGAAGUUCCUAGAGAUAGGAAUGUGCCUUCGGGAACGCUGUGACAGGUGUUGCAUGGCUGUCGUCAGCUCGUGUCGUGAGAUGUAUGGUUAAGUCCAGUAACGAGCGCAACCCCUAUCCUUAUUUGCCAGCGCAUAAUGGCGGGAACUAUAAGGAGACUGCCGGUCAUAAACCGGAGGAAGGCGGGGACGACGUCAAGUCAUCAUGGCCCUUAUGGGUAGGGCUACACACGUGAUACAAUGGGUGGUACAGAGGGUCGCCAAAGCGCGAGCUGGAGCCAAACCCUUAAAACCAUUCUUAGUCCGGAUUGGAGUCUGCAACUCGACUCCAUGAAGUUGGAAUCGCUAGUAAUCGCGAAUCAGAAUGUCGCGGUGAAUACGUUCUCGGGCCUU